rnacentral:rRNA from 1 species
UNAGCGGAGGAAAGAAACUNACAAGGAUUCCCCUAGUAACUGCGAGUGAAGCGGGAAAAGCUCAAAUUUGGAAUCUGGUGGUCUUUGGCCAUCCGAGUUGUAAUUUAGAGAAGCGUCUUCCGCGCUGGACCGUGCACAAGUCUCCUGGAAUGGAGCGUCAUAGAGGGUGAGAAUCCCGUCUUUGGCAUGGAAUCCCAGGGCUUCUGUGAUGCGCUCUCGACGAGUCGAGUUGUUUGGGAAUGCAGCUCAAAAUGGGUGGUGAACUCCAUCUAAAGCUAAAUAUUGGCGAGAGACCGAUAGCGAACAAGUACCGUGAGGGAAAGAUGAAAAGCACUUUGGAAAGAGAGUGAAACAGUACGUGAAAUUGUUGAAAGGGAAACGCUUGAAGUCAGUCGCGUCGACCGAGACUCAGCCUUGCCUCGGCUUGGUGUACUUCUCGGCUUGACGGGUCAGCAUCGAUUUCAAUCCUCGGAUAAUGGCAAGGGAAAGGUAGCACCUUUUUAGGUGUGUUAUAGUCCUCUGUCGCAUGCGAGGGUCGGGAUCGAGGAACUCAGCACGCACCUCAGGGUGUCGGGGCCUUGGCCCACGUUUACGUGCUUAGGAUGCUGGCGUAAUGGCUUUAAACGACC